UGAGCCCGCGAGCCGGGGCCUGCGCAGCUGCCUGAAGGCCUUGCGGGGCAGGAUCCAGAGCUGCCUGAGCAGAACGUUUCACCGCCGGCCCGCCUGGACCCGCCACCUCUUCCAGAAGCGCGUGUCCCCACAGCAAGCGGUGGACAUCAGUGCAGACGAUGACGACCCCGUCACGCCAGAAGACACAACCUUGUGUAUACCGUGUAUGCGUGGCCGAAGAGGCAAGAUAAGACCCUCCUGAGCAGUCAUCAUGGGACCCUCUUCUGCCAGCUCCCCUCUCCUUGCUGCUCCUCCUGCAUCCGCUUCUCCCAGAGCCUGGAGAGAACACAUGGCCUGUCUCCACAAACCACCGUGCAGUCUGAGGGGACGUCCUGUCAACUCGGACCCACCCUGUAUUCUCACAUGAAGUUCUGUCUCCAUAGACCCACAGUGUGGUUUGAGACCCACCAUGCAGUCCAAGCUGAUGUCCUGUCACGACAGACGACCCUCCUGCAGUGUCCCGCGAUGUCCUGUCUCUAGAGGGCCACCAGGCAGUCCUAUGUGAGGUCCUGUCUCCACAAACCCACCCUGCAGUAUUACAUGAGACCCACCAUGCAGUCUGACAUGAUAUCCUGUCUCCAAAGACCACGCCCCCGCUGCAGUGUCACGUGAUGUCCUGUCUCUAGAGAAACUCCAGGCAGUCCGAUGUGAGGUCCUGUCACCACAAACCCACCUUGCAGUAUUACAUGAGAUCCACCCUGCAGUGGGACAUAUUGUCCUGUCUCUAGAGACUAACCAGGCAAUCGGAUGUGAGGUCCUGGCUCCAUAGACCCACCUUGCAGUAUUACAUGAGACCUACCCUGCAGUCUGAGGUGAUGUCCUUCCUCCAAAGACCCACCUUGCAGUAUGACGUGAUGUACUGUCUCCAGAGAUCCACAGUGCAGUCCGAAGUGAUGUCCUGUCUCCACAGACCCACCAUGCAGUCUGAGUAGACGUACUGUGUCUGUAGACGCAACAUGCAUUCUUAGAGGGUUUGUAUAUGCAGACCCACCAUGCAGUACUGACGUCCAGUUUCCCCAGACCCACCAAGCAGUCUGCCAUGACUGUACCCAUGAAAAGUCACAUGCAA